rnacentral:rRNA from 1 species
AUUGAACGCUGGCGGCAUGCCUUACACAUGCAAGUCGAACGGUAACAGGUUAAGCUGACGAGUGGCGAACGGGUGAGUAAUAUAUCGGAACGUGCCCAGUCGUGGGGGAUAACUGCUCGAAAGAGCAGCUAAUACCGCAUACGACCUGAGGGUGAAAGCGGGGGAUCGCAAGACCUCGCGCGAUUGGAGCGGCCGAUAUCAGAUUAGGUAGUUGGUGGGGUAAAAGCCUACCAAGCCGACGAUCUGUAGCUGGUCUGAGAGGACGACCAGCCACACUGGGACUGAGACACGGCCCAGACUCCUACGGGAGGCAGC